CCUACGGGUGGCUGCAGUGAGGAAUAUUGGUCAAUGGGCGUGAGACUGAACCAGCCAAGUAGCGUGCAGGAUGACUGCCCUACGGGUUGUAAACUUCUUUUAUACAGGAAUAAAGUGAGGCACGUGUGCCUUUUUGUAUGUACUUUAUGAAUAAGGAUCGGCUAAUUCCGUGCCAGCAGCCGCGGUAAUACGGAGGAUCCGAGCGUUAUCCGGAUUUAUUGGGUUUAAAGGGAGCGUAGAUGGGGUGUUAAGUCAGUUGUGAAAGUUUGCGGCUCAACCGUAGAAUUGCAGUUGAUACUGGCAGCCUUGAGUGCAGGUGAGGUAGGCGGAAUUCGUGGUGUAGCGGUGAAAUGCUUAGAUAUCACGAAGAACUCCGAUUGCGAAGGCAGCAUACUAAACUGCCACUGACAUUGAUGCUCGAAAGUGUGGGUAUCAAACAGGAUUAGAUACCCUGGUAGUC
rnacentral:rRNA from 1 species